rnacentral:lncRNA from 1 species
UAACGACCCAGUCCACUAGCAAUAAUAACUCGUUGGGCGUAGCCAACAGCCCAAAAUGCUUAAGCCCAGUUAUUAUUACUAGUGUCUAAGUCUCUUAUAAACCAAAUGAUAACCCCAUUCUCAUCCGAUGUGGGAUUAUUGGGGUGUCACAGACUUCCCCCGUUAAGGCCUUGACGUCCUCGUCAGUCCAAUCACACACAGCCCAAGAUCACCAGGCGAUGUGAGACUCGUCUCGCUAGCCUGUCAUCCAGACCUUGGCUCAGCCGAGACUCGCCACACAUGUCCAGCUGGUGAACCGGUUCUGAUACCAAAUGUAACGACCCAGCCCACUAGCAACAAUAACUCGUUGGGCCCAACCACCGGCCCAAAAUGCUUAAGCCCAGUUAUUAUUACUAGUGUCUAAGUCUCUUAUAAACCCAAUGACAACCCCUUUCCCAUCCGAUGUGGGACUAUUGGGGUGUCACAGGAGUGAAUGGCAAAUUGCUUACAUGUUUGGCUAUUGUAGGAUACAGCAGAAGUAUUCGAUUGUAUAUUUUGGGUGUCGCGUAAGUUUUUCUUCCGUUGAGGAAAACCGUAACGAAAAAUCUGAUUGUGAUUAAAAUCUAACUAAUUUUGUGAUAAAAUUAAUAAAUUCAACUUAUAGAUGAUCGCUAAAUCCCAAAAAAAUUAUGGAAGAAGAAUGCCAAAAUAAUUGAUCUGGAAGCGUGCGAGGCACUAUCCUAAGGCGUAUUCCCGUCCUUCAUGCAGGAUUAAUGGGAAACACUCCCGUCCUUCAUGCAGGAUUAAUGGGAAACACUGCCCCAAAAUACAAUCGGAAUUUCUCCUUCCUGUGAGCACGAUCGUGGAGAAGGUUGACGGGGCUUCUUUCAACAUCCAGUGAUAAAACGAUCAAAUGAAGUGGAUAAAAUUAGUAAAGAGGAUAUUAAAAUUAACUCUUGAAAACUAUCCUGUCAAUCAACAGCUCACAUUCAUGUAUUCAUUCACAUGAACCAGAAAGAGCUCCAUCCGAGCAUCAUAUAUAUGAUGAAGUAAUUAGAGCGUUGGAGGUCCAACGUUCUACUGGAAACGGCCGCGCGUUGGGCGCGUGAAUGUGCGAGGAGUGGAGCGCGCACGGAGCCGGUGCGCACGACGUGCAAAUCGAAACGUGCGCAAAGAAAUCUUCAGUUAACAAUAAAUUAAGUUUAAAAAAU